AGUACCCCAGAAUAAAAUUUGUUUCCUUUAUUUUUAAAUAACAGAAAAGAACAAACAUAAUAGAGAAGAACGAGCAAAUAAUGAAGACACAUGGGACAAUGACAAGUGAAAAAGUGCUCCAUAUGUCAAAAAUGUACAUUUUUAAUCUUUGCUAUCCCAAGAAGCAAGGUGACACGAGAAUUGAUUUCUGGUCAAACCAAAUAUUCUGAAAUGCCCAUCCAAAGCCUCUAAAUGGAGAAGCCAAUACUGUAUCAGUGAAACCUGGAAAAUGAGGGGGAAAAAAAGGGUUUACUCAUUCUGCCUAGAAGAGCUGUGUAAACAAAAACAAAACAGUCUUUGAGGACAGAACAUGAAGAACUGGCAAGCAAACACAAGUGUAAUGGAGAAGAUUUCUAGGUCACCCAACUGCCUAAUUGCUGGCAGCAUAUCUGGAUUUUUACAGCAUCUCUCUCUAACUCAGUCCUUUGGAAAACAAAACGCUAUAUAAUGCAAAACAGUUACAAAUCUAAAGCAUUUUUUAUCCUGUAAACUUCAGCUUUUACCUACAGUAGGGUUUUUGAGAGACUUGUUUUUCAUGUUGAGCUAAAUAGAACAACCUGUCUUUUCAUGACAUAUUAAAAUUUAAUGAUGAGUGAUC